rnacentral:rRNA from 1 species
GAUGAACGCUGGCGGCGUGCCUAAUACAUGCAAGUCGAGCGAACAGACGAGGAGCUUGCUCCUCUGACGUUAGCGGCGGACGGGUGAGUAACACGUGGAUAACCUACCUAUAAGACUGGGAUAACUUCGGGAAACCGGAGCUAAUACCGGAUAAUAUAUUGAACCGCAUGGUUCAAUAGUGAAAGACGGUUUUGCUGUCACUUAUAGAUGGAUCCGCGCCGCAUUAGCUAGUUGGUAAGGUAACGGCUUACCAAGGCAACGAUGCGUAGCCGACCUGAGAGGGUGAUCGGCCACACUGGACCUGAGACACGGUCCAGACUCCUACGGGAGGCAGCAGUAGGGAAUCUUCCGCAAUGGGCGAAAGCCUGACGGAGCAACGCCGCGUGAGUGAUGAAGGUCUUCGGAUCGUAAAACUCUGUUAUUAGGAAGAACAAAUGUGUAAGUAACUAUGCACGUCUUGACGGUACCUAAUCAGAAAGCCACGGCUAACUACGUG